AUGGCGAGUGAUGUUAUGGUUUUGACUUUUUUAAAGUGAAGAUAUAUAUUGUAGUUAAACGAUAACUUAAAGCAAAAAUCAUACUCCAAAUUUACACCUAUUAAAACUUGGGAUCUAAGAUAUGACAUUAAAAUGAGAUCUAAUGUGACAUGGAUUCGGCUAAUUUGUGCAGUAAGAGAAAAGGGAGGGAGAAAAUUAUUAUAUUGGGAGUGAUAAAAUAGUAGGUGAGAGAUUAAUGGUAAAACAGUGGAUGUAAGCACCAAACAACUCAUCAAAAUACAACGUGUAUUAUCCAAAUACCACCAUUCAAAAUCAUAUCUCACAUCUCCAAAUACCACCAUUCAAAAGCAUUGGAGGAAAUCACCACCGACACCACAACACCACCAUUGAACCACCGCCACCACAGCACAACAACCGAACCUGCACAGCCACCGCGGUUCCAUCAUUUGCUCCAAAUGAAACGUUUCCUUUUAGUAGGAAUGCUACAUCUGUGAUCUGCCUGAACCGGAAUCCGGCCGGUGCCGACUACGUUGGGGUUUUGUGGCAGAUUACUUUGCGGCGGAAUAGUAUUAUUAAUUGGAAAUUGAGUGACUGGAUUUAUGAAUGCAACUCCCCUCACACCAUGAGUCUGCCAAGGUUUCAGAUGGGUGAUACAUGACCGGCGGUUAUUCUGGUUGUGUGAGGGUUAUAUAGGUGUAGAAACGGUUCUGACGGCGGUGAAACGAUGGUGGGGGGAGACACGUCGGUGGAUGAAUGUUUGUGUCGGUUCCAUAACGGUGUGUCUACCACCGGUGGAGUAUAAAAAAUAUUAACUUUCAACUAUACUUGGACUUGAGGGAAAGAUGAUAUCAUUUAAUGAAUAGUGGGAUAAGUCCAAGCAUUUGGAACGGUGGCUUUGCAUGGUUAUGUGACGGUUUAUUUAUCUUUGGUGCAACAGUGGGUUUAAUGCAAGUUUUGAAACAGUGGCGUUGCAUUUGAAACGGUGCGAUAGUUAUUUGGUUGGUAAAUGUAUAAGAGUAUAAUUUCUGAGGUUGUGGUCGAUAACAUGGAGGUUCGAGCGGCAUUUCAAAGUCAUUUCACAGGGUUAGGCUGGUUCUAAGGAAGUCCUCAUUUUAACCCCUAUGGAAUUAUUAAGGCCAUCUCAUGGAGACGUUGUUUUAAUUUUUUUUUUUGAUAGUUGCUUUACGAUAUGGUGUAAUAUUUUUGACAAACACUAGAUGAUAUGUAGUGUAUUUUUUGUUUUUUUUUUUGUAUAAAACAUGUUUAAAAGCAAGAUUAUGUUGGGCUCUUUUAUGAGAAAAAAAUUGGUUAUUUGUGAAAAAUUUUAGUGACAUUUAAAAUU
rnacentral:lncRNA from 1 species